rnacentral:lncRNA from 1 species
CAUAUAUAGUCAAUUGAUUUGCAACAAUGGCAGCAAGGCUAUUCAGUGAGAAAGAAUAGCAUUUGACAAAUUGUGCUGGAACAAUGGGAUAUCCUUAUGGAAAUAAAGAACAGCAACCUUACUUCACACCACCAUAAAAUAAUUAAUUCAAGGGGCUGGCCCAGUGGCACAGUGGAUAAGUUUGCACGCUCUGCUUCAGCAGCAUGGGGUUUGCUGGUUUGGAUCCCGGCUCAGACCUACAUACCGCUUGUCAAGCCAUGCUGUGGCAGGCGUGCCACAUAGAAAGUAGAGGAACAUGGGCAUGGAUGUUAGCUCAGGGCCAGUCUUCCUCAGCAAAAAAGAAGAGGAUUGGCAGCAGAUGUUAGCUCAGGGCUAAUCUUUCUCAAAAGAAAAAAAAAAGAAAAAAUUAACACAAAAUGGAUCACAUGUCUAAAUGUAAAAAAUAAAAGAUAAGACUGCAAAACUUCUAGAAGAAAACAGGAGAGAAUACCUAUGUGACAUUGCGAUGUGCAAAAAUUUCUUAGCUAGACCACAAAGACAAUUUGUGAAAGAUAAAAAAUUAAUAAAACAUUUUUCUCUUGGAACGAUACCAUCAAAAAAUAAAAAGGCAAGUCAGACUGGAAACAAAUAUUCACACAUAUUAGGCAAAGAACUCUAAUCCAUAAUAUGUAGAGAACAUUUAUAAUUCAAUAAGAAUAUAAUAAACUUAAUUGAAAAAUAAGCAAAAGAUUUGAGAAAACACUUCAUAAAAGAUUUAUGAGUGGCCAAGGUGCUCAAGUCAUUAAUUAUCAUGGAAACUCAAAAUAAACCACAAUUAGAUACAUACUCAUUAGAAUGGUGAAAAUUAAAAAGAUUGAUAAUACCCAGAGGUGGCAAGGAUGUAGAAAUCUGAAGUUCUCAUACAUUGUUGAUGGGGUUGUACACAGCACAAGUAGUUUGAGAGCCGUUUGACAGUUUAUAACAAAAUUAAACAUAUACUUCUCAUAUGACUCAUCCAUUCUACUCCAAGGCAUUUGCUCAAAAGAAAUAAAUUAUGUGUCUACACAAAGAUUUGUAUCCAAAUGUUCGCAGCAGCUUUAUUUACAAUCGCCCAAACUGGCAACAUCCAAAUGCUCAUCAGCUGGUGAAUAUAUAAAGACGUUGUGCUAAAUCCAUACCAUGAAAUACUAUUCAGCAAUAAAAUGGAAUCAACUACUGCUAUAUACAACAACACGUGUGGACCUUAAAAUCGUGCCGAGUGAAAGAUACCAGGCAGAAUAAUGGCUCUAUGCCCCGGUCCCUGGAAUUUGGGAAAAUGUUACCUUAUAUGGCUAAAAGCACUUUGCAGAUGUUUUUAAGUUAAGCAUUUUGAGAUGGAGAGA